rnacentral:rRNA from 1 species
GAUGAACGCUGGCGGCGUGCCUAAUACAUGCAAGUCGAGCGAACAGACGAGGAGCUUGCUCCUCUGACGUUAGCGGCGGACGGGUGAGUAACACGUGGAUAACCUACCUAUAAGACUGGGAUAACUUCGGGAAACCGGAGCUAAUACCGGAUAAUAUUUUGAACCGCAUGGUUCAAUAGUGAAAGACGGUUUUGCUGUCACUUAUAGAUGGAUCCGCGCUGCAUUAGCUAGUUGGUAAGGUAACGGCUUACCAAGGCAACGAUGCGUAGCCGACCUGAGAGGGUGAUCGGCCACACUGGAACUGAGACACGGUCCAGACUCCUACGGGAGGCAGCAGUAGGGAAUCUUCCGCAAUGGGCGAAAGCUUGACGGAGCAACGCCGCGUGAGUGAUGAAGGUCUUCGGAUCGUAAAACUCUGUUAUUAGGGAAGAACAAAUGUGUAAGUAACUGUGCACGUCUUGACGGUACCUAAUCAGAAAGCCACGGCUAACUACGUG